CCUACGGGUGGCAGCAGUAGGGAAUAUUGCUCAAUGGGGGAAACCCUGAAGCAGCAACGCCGCGUGAAGGAUGACGGUUCUCGGAUUGUUAACUCUCUUUUUUAGAGAAGAUAAUGACGCUAUCUAUCGAAUAAGCACCGGCUAACUCAGUGCCAGCAGCCGCGGUAAUACGGAGGGUGCAAGCGGUACUCGGAAUCAUUGGGCGUAAAGAGCGCGUAGGCGGGAUAGCAAGUCAGAUGUGAAAUCCUAGGGCUUAACCAUAGAACUGCAUUUGAAACUGUUAUUCUAGAGUAGGGGAGAGGUAGGUGGAAUUCUGGGUGUAGGGGUAAAAUCCGUAGAGAUCAAGAGGAAUACUGAUUGCGAAGGCAGCAUGCUAGAACAUAACUGACGCUGAUGCGCGAAAGCGUGGGGAGCGAACAGGAUUAGAUACCCUAGUAGUC
rnacentral:rRNA from 1 species